rnacentral:misc_RNA from 1 species
GAUGAAGAACGUAGCGAAAUGCGAUAAGAAGUGUGAAUUGCAGAAUUCAGUGAAUCAUCGAAUCUUUGAACGCACAUUGCGCCCCUUGGUAUUCCAUGGGGCAUGCCUGUUCGAGCGUCAUUUGUACCUUCAAGCUUUGCUUGGUGUUGGGUGUUUGUCCCGAGGGACUCGCCUUAAAGUAAUUGGCAGCCAGUGUUUGGUUUUGAAGCGCAGCACAAGUCGCGAUUCAAGGCUACACGCCCGCUUCCACAAGCCUUUUUUCACUUUUGACCUCGGAUCAGGUAGGGAUACCCGCUGAACUUAAGCAUAUCAAUAAGCGGAGGA